GGGUCCAUGGCGUAGUUGGUUAACGCACAAUCUGCCCAUUUAGCAAAUUGAGGUCUCCUGUUCGAACCAGGAUGGAUCCC